rnacentral:lncRNA from 1 species
GGCCAAGGGCUCACCCAUCCAAAGGGACCACACAUCCCCGUGUCCCGUCCUCCUCCACCUCACCCCCCGGCCAGGAGGGAGCAGUACACGGGGAUGAUGUUCUGCCCCACGUCCUCAGGGAGGGGAGGGACGAACGUGGAGGCAGAGGUGGCUGAGGCGGUGGGGCCGGUGCUGCCCUCCUUGGGGGGGUUUCCUUCGGCCUGUUCUGGGAUCUGCGGUUCCUUCUUCUGGGCGCAGGGCUCACACUGGGUGCUGGUGAGGCCGUGGGGAACGGCCGUCCCGGAGCCUGGAGGGCAGGAGGAGCAGCACUCGCCGGACUGAGUGUAGGCACCGCUGGGGCACGGCGGGCUGCGGGCCGACACCUGCGGGCAGAGCGGCGCGGACAGCAGCAGGCACAGCGCCUGCGAUAGGCGCAGCGCCGCGCAGCCCCACUGCAUGGCGGGGCCGGGGCCGGGCCCCCCCGGGGCGCUGCUCCGCUCGGUUCGGUCCGGCUCGGCUCGGCUCGGCUCGGCGCGGUUCGGCUCCGCUCGGUUCCGCCCGGGCUCGGCUCCGCUCCGCUCGGCCCGGCUCGGCUCGACUCGGCGCGGCCCCGCAGGGAGGGGCGCGGCG